rnacentral:rRNA from 1 species
AGUGAACGCUGGCGGUAGGCCUAACACAUGCAAGUCGAACGGCAGCACAGUAAGAGCUUGCUCUUACGGGUGGCGAGUGGCGGACGGGUGAGGAAUACAUCGGAAUCUACUUUUUCGUGGGGGAUAACGUAGGGAAACUUACGCUAAUACCGCAUACGACCUACGGGUGAAAGCAGGGGAUCUUCGGACCUUGCGCGAUUGAAUGAGCCGAUGUCGGAUUAGCUAGUUGGCGGGGUAAAGGCCCACCAAGGCGACGAUCCGUAGCUGGUCUGAGAGGAUGAUCAGCCACCCUGGAACUGAGACACGGUCCAGACUCCUACGGGAGGCAGCAGUGGGGAAUAUUGGACAAUGGGCGCAAGCCUGAUCCAGCCAUACCGCGUGGGUGAAGAAGGCCUUCGGGUUGUAAAGCCCUUUUGUUGGGAGAGAAAAGCAGCAGGUUAAUACCCCGCUGUUCUGACGGUACCCAAAGAAUAAGCACCGGCUAACUACGUG